ensembl:rRNA 5S_rRNA 5S ribosomal RNA
GUCUAUAACCAUACCACUCUGAACAGGCCUGAUCUUGGAAGCUAAGCAAGACUAGUAGUUGGAUGAAAACAUCUUUGGCAUACUGGCAAUUGUAGACU